AGCAUUUUGCGCCACAUGGACGUCUGCCACACAUUUCAUGGACUAUCGUUUGCUUAAAGAUGCAUGAAGAAUCUGUGACUAAAAGUUAUUAACAGGAUGGCAGAGAUGGAGGCAAAGCUCCGAGUAAUAAUUGAUGACCGAAUUGAGAAGUUGGUCCUUCCAUCAGGAAUCCCACCCACUGUGGAGGAGCUGCAAACUAUUGUGAAGGAGACCUAUGGGAUUUCUGAUGAGUUCAGUCUUCAGCAUUUGGACUUGGAAUUUGAAGAUUACUUUACUCUUCACAACACUGACCUUAUUAAACACAAAGACACCAUAAAGGUUGUUCACAC